rnacentral:rRNA from 1 species
AGUCGAGGGGUAACAUUGUAGCUUGCUACAGAUGACGACCGGCGCACGGGUGAGUAACGCGUAUGCAACCUGCCUUUGACAGGGGGAUAGCCCGGAGAAAUCCGGAUUAAUAUCCCAUGGUAUUUACGAAUCGCAUGGUUUGUAAAUUAAAGAUUUUAUCGGUCAAAGAUGGGCAUGCGUGACAUUAGCUAGUUGGUAAGGUAACGGCUUACCAAGGCUGCGAUGUCUAGGGGUUCUGAGAGGAUGAUCCCCCACACUGGUACUGAGACACGGACCAGACUCCUACGGGAGGCAGCAGUGAGGAAUAUUGGUCAAUGGGCGCAAGCCUGAACCAGCCAUCCCGCGUGAAGGAAGACUGCCCUAUGGGUUGUAAACUUCUUUUCUGCACCAAGAAUGGUUACUACGUGUAGUGAUUUGACGGUAGUGCAGGAAUAAGCAUCGGCUAACUCCGUGCCAGCAGCCGCGGUAAUACGGAGGAUGCAAGCGUUAUCCGGAUUCAUUGGGUUUAAAGGGUACGUAGGUGGCCAAUUAAGUCAGUGGUGAAAUCCUGCCGCUUAACGGUAGAACUGCCAUUGAAACUGGUUGGCUUGAGUACAGUUGA